rnacentral:rRNA from 1 species
GACGAACGCUGGCGGCGUGCUUAACACAUGCAAGUCGAACGAAGUGGCGAACGGGUGAGUAACGCGUAAUCAACCUGCCCUUCAGAGGGGGACAACAGUUGGAAACGACUGCUAAUACCGCAUACUGAAGGAGGGGAUUGCGUCUGAUUAGCUAGUUGGAGGGGUAACGGCCCACAAAGGCGAUGACCAGUAGCCUGUCUGGGGUGAUGAACUGCCACAUUGGGACUGAGACACGGCCCAGACUCCUGCGGGAGGCAGCAGUGGGGAAUCUUCCGAAAUGGACGAAAGUCUGACGAAGCAACGCCGCGGGAGUGAUGACGGCCUUCGGGUUGUAAAGCUCUGUUAAUCGGGACGCGGUACCGGAAUAGAAAGCCACGGCUAACUACGUGCCAGCAGCCGCGGUAAUUC